UACACACCGCCCGUCACACCACGAAAGCCUGUUGGACCAGAAGUCGCUAGGCUAACCGCAAGGAGGCAAGCGCCGAAGGUCUGGCCGGUGAUUGGGGUG
rnacentral:rRNA from 1 species